rnacentral:lncRNA from 1 species
UUUAGAUUAGAGAGAUACGCAUUACAAACAUUUAAGAAAGAAAAACAUUGUACUGAAGCAAAUUAACAAAACAUAGUUAAGCAAAUACAACAUACUGAAGCAAUGGUAAUUAUAUUAGUGACGAGAACCCAUGGAUUGUGAGUUGCAGGAAGAUUGGGUCGAUGUUUUAGCGACGACCAUUGCCUCCUGAGGACCGUCCUUGUUGUGGUGGAGCAGAGUCGUAGGCACCUAUUGCUCGGAGAUAGCGCAGGUAGUCUGGGUCGAUGUCUUCUUCAGGUUCCUCAAUGCGUAUCAACCGGUAGCUUCUGAACUCGGCUCUGGUCCAAUAUCGUAGCGAAUUUUCGUGUGCUAUAAUAAACAGAGAUAUUAUAGCGCUUCUCUAUUGCUGUAUUAAACCUUUUUAAUAACGAUGGUAAAUAUUAUUAUAUGGCGUUUUGUUUUCGUCAUCAGAAAUUUUAUAAUGACGUUUUGUUUAAGACAUGGAAUAUGUUUUUAUAACUUUAGUUUUUCUAAAUGCAUGCACCUAUAAUAGCAUAUCCUGUAUGUCAUUGAAUAGUAAGAGGUAGCUUUUUUCUUGUGCUAGGACGUAAAUUAUGAUAGCUUUAAUUAUUUUUUAUAUAGAAAAUUGAAUAAUGAAAUAUUUGGUGGUUGAUUUCCUGCUAAAAUUGUUUGAUUUGGAAUAUUGAAUUGCAUAAAUUGUAAAUUUAAAAAAUAUAUAUAAUUAAAAUUCAAAUUUAGAUUAGAGAGACAUGCAUUACAAACAUUCAAGAAAAAAAAACAUUGGACUGAAGCAAAUUAACAAAACAUACUUAAGCAAAUACAACAUACUGAAGCAAUGGUAAUUAUAGUAGUGACGAGAACCCAUGGAUUGUGAGUUGCAGGAAGAUUGGGUCGAUGUUUUAGCGACGACCAUUGCCUCCUGAGGACCGUCCUUGUUGUGGUGGAGCAGAGUCGUAGGCACCUAUUGCUCGGAGAUAGCGCAGGUAGUCUGGGUCGAUGUCUUCUUCAGGUUCCUCAAUGCGUAUCAACCGGUAGCUUCUGAACUCGGCUCUGGUUAUCUCAUCUACAUCAUUUCCUCGUGAGGACUGUCCUCGUUGUGGUGGAGCUGUGUUGACUGCUUCUUGUUGUGUCUGUUCUGGUUUGAGUUGUGGUUUCACUCCGGCUGCCGGGAGUGCACAGACGAUGACCUUCCUUGCUUCCAUUAGAGUUGCUAGACAGAAAAGUUAAACAAAGUUAGAUCUUUACAAUAAUAAUAAGACAGAAAACGGAACUAAUUGAAGAAUAAAUUAGUGAAGAUUAAACUGAAAAAUUAACAAAUAUCUCAACACAAGGUAACAAAUCGAACAAGAUAUUGGAGUUUGAUAUAAAUCUUUGACUAUCUGAACACAAGGUAACAAAUCGAACAAGAUAUUGAAGUUUCACUGACCUGGAAAUUAAGAUAUCAUUGAGAUCUGUAAGGCUUCAAAUCUUUUUGGAUCUGUAAGAUUUGUUACCUUCAUAAUCAGAUAAAUAUAAUAAUGAGCUUACAUUAAUAAAAUCAAGGGUUUAGAGGUCGCUAACCUGUAAGGACAGAGAACUCUGUAACCUAAAUGGUGGCGGUGGAGAAGGUCGGAGAGAUUUUUGAUGGUAUGAGAUGGAAUCGUGGUGGCUUACACAGAUUUGUGGUGGUUUGAGAUGGAAGGAGAGAUUCGUGGUGGAUUAAGAGAUAGAAUCGUGGUGGCUUAAGAGAGAUUUGUGGUGGUUUGAGGGUAGGAGAGAAGGCGAUAAAGACAAUAAAAUUUACUUUGGCUCCCAAAAUAAGAAAAUUUUGGCUUUCCCUCCGAAAAGCCUCGUCGACCAAUGAGAGACAAGGACGAGGAUAACCUAAAAAACUAAUCUCCACUGUUGAAUCAUCUCCAUCGAAUGGAUAUAAUUAGUCAAAAAAAAUUUCUAGUUUUCUCCACUAGAUAUGUCGAAAAUAUGGUUCUAAGUAAGAACAGCAUGGAUGUUGAUCGAUUUUGAGAUGAUUUAGGAUGGUGUAAACUUGUAUUUGUUAUAUCUACAUUUUUAAAUGAUCAUAUAAUCAAUACAAACUAAAAAAUGCAAAGAAUACAUCAUUAUGUGAACAUAUAAAUCCUAAACACUCAAAGUAUAACAAUUUAUACACUAACCCCUAAAACUUCACACUAAAACGUUAACCCUCAAAGACAAAGGUGUGGUGGAAAGCUUAAUUGAUUCUUAAUUUUGUCAUUAUUUAUCUCUUGGUAACUUUCAAUAAACACCACAACUUUUUUUUUGAAUGAAUCACUCAACACUGUCAUUACCCUAAACCCUAAAACUAAAGCCUACACAAUCAACCCUAUCGUUACCCUAAACCCUAAAUUGCUUUGGUAUAUGAAAUUGUAUUUGGUCAUUUUAAUUUUGGGCAUUUGUUGUGAUUAAACAUUUUAAUUUUGGGCUAUCCUUACAUUUGAAAUCAUAAACACAUUAGUUAAGAUUGAAAAAGCAUAGAAACAUCCAAGAGGGGCAAAUAACACAUAGUCACGUACUGAAACAAAGAAACAGAAAGCCGAUCAUGUCUUAAAAAACAGAGUCAUUAAAAACACACACAGUCUUAUUGCUUGGUUCCUUUGGCUAUCUUUUUAAACCUGGACAGAAAGACAAAUCUGAUUAGUUUGACAUAUUCCAACACUUAUGUAACAGAUAAACGAGAUCAUAUCUCACCGGUAGAACUUUAUCCUCUGGCCAAGCAAGACAGCUUCCAAGUGCAUCUUCCAUAUACUCGAUCUCUGAUGAUGUCCUCCACACAGCAGCAUCUUUAACCUUCACAACAUCCACAAAGACUCGACAUGCACCAGGACCCAAAGGUUGAAAGUGGACAAGAUGCUCAGGAUUACUCGAUGACCAUCGUCCUUCAGCGACGACCACCUUAUCUCCGGACAGGUCCAAUAGCUUGAUUUUUUUUUAUUAGGCUUGAAUUUGUUACGCUGCAACCACAAACCAGUCAACAUAACCAAUAUUCAGGAAUCACAACCAGAACUAAUCAAGUAUUGCAACCAGAAACCACAAACCACAAAGAAGAACCAAUAUUGAGGAAUCACAACCAGAACCAAUCAAGUAGUUCAAGGAAAGAAAGUACCUCUGAUCUGCGAAGAGGAGAUGCUGGAAUUACAGGUGACUGGACUUUCAUUGUCGCUGCAGGUAUCUUUGUGGGAGCUGGUGGAGUCAAUGGAGAAUCCGCAUCAUUCCUAGACUGAUCUCUGACACUCGUUCUAGGUUUUGCAGUAGCUUUUGCACUCAGUGGAGACUUUAGAUUCUUAGAAGUUGAACUUACUGCUUUUGAACUUCGAACUUCCUGCUUUAGAACUUUCUGAGUCAAACACAACUCUAUUUGCUGGCCAUGCUACAAAACAGUUCUGAUAAUCCUCCAUAGUUGUCUUCCCCACAGUAGGCCUCCAUAUGUAUGCAUCAGGGUUUACUACCUCAUCCACAUACACUUUUAUUGCAUUUGGACCAAGAGGAAGUCCAUUGACCAACGCUUGUGGUUCUUUCGUCUGCCAUCAGCCUACAGCAACGACUUCCCUAUUAUGUACGUAGUCCAUGAGUCUGCAUUUGUUAUUUGAACUGCUGAAAGGGCUCUGCAAAACAAAAACAAACAAUUUUGAAUAAAAAAGACUCAGACUGAGACUCAGAUUCAGCUACAGAGGAAGAGGAAAAUUAACCUUAGGAGCAUUGUCCUCUGGUAAACCUGCCGUUGGAACAAUACAAUGAUCGGAAUGCCAUGCAAUCAUUUCUCCUACUGCAUCCUCCAUGGUAAACAUAUUAGGUGCAGGUCUCCAUAAAAAGGUUUCUGGUUU